rnacentral:rRNA from 1 species
AGUGGCGAACGGGUGAGUAACACGUACGAAACCUACCUUUAACUGGGAGAUAGCCCCGAGAAAUUGGGAUUAAUAUCGCAUAACAUUCAAGAAAGGCAUCUUUUUUGAAUCAAAAUUCCGGUGGUUAGAGAUGGUCGUGCGUCCCAUUAGCCAGUUGGUAGAGUAAUAGCCUACCAAGGCAACGAUGGGUAGCUGGCGUGAGAGCGUGACCAGCCACACGGGCACUGAGACACGGGCCCG